rnacentral:tRNA from 1 species
GGGGAUAUAGCUCAGUUGGUAGAGUGCUUGCCUUGCAUGCACAAGACCCUGGGUUUAAUCCCCAGCACCA